UGGCCUGGUAGUCGGGCCGCCGGUCGAUGCGCCGCCUGACCGCGUCGGAUCCGAAGCGGUAGUCGAUGCGGCGGGUCGCCUCCGCCCAGUCCGCCCA
rnacentral:tRNA from 1 species